rnacentral:rRNA from 1 species
GCAAGUCGAACGAUGAUGCCCAGCUUGCUGGGCGGAUUAGUGGCGAACGGGUGAGUAAUACGUGAGUAACCUGCCCUUGACUCUGGGAUAAGCCUGGGAAACUGGGUCUAAUACUGGAUACUACUGUCCACCGCAUGGUGGGUGGUGGAAAGGGUUUUACUGGUUUUGGAUGGGCUCACGGCCUAUCAGCUUGUUGGUGGGGUAAUGGCUCACCAAGGCGACGACGGGUAGCCGGCCUGAGAGGGUGACCGGCCACACUGGGACUGAGACACGGCCCAGACUCCUACGGGAGGCAGCAGUGGGGAAUAUUGCACAAUGGGCGGAAGCCUGAUGCAGCGACGCCGCGUGAGGGAUGACGGCCUUCGGGUUGUAAACCUCUUUCAGUAGGGAAGAAGCGAGAGUGACGGUACCUGCAGAAGAAGCGCCGGCUAACUACGUGCCAGCAGCCGCGGUAAUACGUAGGGCGCAAGCGUUGUCCGGAAUUAUUGGGCGUAAAGAGCUCGUAGGCGGUUUGUCGCGUCUGCUGUGAAAGCCCGGGGCUCAACCCCGGGUCUGCAGUGGGUACGGGCAGACUAGAGUGCAGUAGGGGAGACUGGAAUUCCUGGUGUAGCGGUGAAAUGCGCAGAUAUCAGGAGGAACACCGAUGGCGAAGGCAGGUCUCUGGGCUGUUACUGACGCUGAGGAGCGAAAGCAUGGGGAGCGAA